rnacentral:piRNA from 1 species
UUCUUUACUUUAGAACAUGGGCCGUUCU